rnacentral:lncRNA from 1 species
GUAAUUUUUGUCGAGCCUGCAACUUUUGUUGCAGAAAGCUCGACAUAGGGAUAGUGAUCCGGCGGCGGCGGCGGCGGUGUUAGCUAACUUUUUUAAAGCUUUAUAUUUAAGAAGGUGGAAGACCUGGAUGCUUCAUACUUUGUAUAUAGAUGCCUCAUGUUACGAAGUUUCCGUCAGUCACAUGUCAAAUGUCCUUGACCUCAUUUUCAUGGUUCAGUGACCACUUGAAAAAAAAGUUCAGAUUUUUUGUAAUGUUGAAAUCUCUCUUAUUAUAAGUAAUAGGAUAAUUAUAUUUGGUAUGUGCGUACCUUGCAAGGUCCUCAUGCCCGUCAGGCAGUUUUAAGUUUUGGUGGUCAAGUCCAUAUCUCAGAUACUAUAAGCAAGAGGGCUAGUAUAUUCGGUGUAUGGAAGGACUGUAAGGUGUACAUGUCCAACUGGCAGGUGUCAUCUGACCUUGACCUCAUUUUCAUGGUUCAGUGGUUAUAGUUAAGUUUUUGUGUUUUGGUCGGUUUUUCUCAUACUUUAUGCAAUAGAUCUACUAUAUUUGAUGUAUGGAAUAAUUGUAAGGUGUACAUGUCUAGCGGGUAGAUGUCAUCUGACCUUGACCUCAUUUACAUGGUUGAGUGGUCAAAGUUAAGUUUUUGAGUUUUGGUCUUUUUAUCUAAUGCUAUAUGCCAUAGGUCAACUAUAUUUGGUGUAUGGAAAUAUUUUAUGAUCUAUAUGUCAGUCGCGUAGGUUUUAUUUGACCUCGACCUCAUUUUCACGGUUCAUUGCUCAGUGUUAUGUUUUUGUGUUUUGGUCUUUUUUUCUUAAACUAUAAGUAAUAGGUCAACUAUAUUUGUUGUAUGGAAGCAUUGUUAGCUGUACAUGUGUGCCUGGCAUGGUUCAUCUAACCUUGACCUCAUUUUCAUGGUUCAUUGGUCAAUGUUUAGUUAUCUUGGUUAAUGUUAAGUUUAUAAGACAGUUGUAAUAAAGCUUUAUACUUAGGACUAUCAACAUAAUAUCAAUGAUUAGUAAAGAAGGCGAGACAUUUCAG